CGUGCGGGUGCUUACACAUGCAAGUCGAACGAUGAAGCUGGAGCUUGCUCCGGUGGAUUAGUGGCGAACGGGUGAGUAACACGUGAGCAAUCUGCCCUUCACUCUGGGAUAACUACGGGAAACUGUAGCUAAUACCGGAUACGAUCCCUAGGGGCAUCCCUGGGGAUGGAAAGAAUUUCGGUGAAGGAUGAGCUCGCGGCCUAUCAGCUAGUUGGUGAGGUAAUGGCUCACCAAGGCGACGACGGGUAGCCGGCCUGAGAGGGUGACCGGCCACACUGGAACUGAGACACGGUCCAGACUCCUACGGGAGGCAGCAGUGGGGAAUAUUGCACAAUGGGCGAAAGCCUGAUGCAGCAACGCCGCGUGAGGGAUGAAGGCCUUCGGGUUGUAAACCUCUUUUAGCAGGGAAGAAGGGUAACUGACGGUACCUGCAGAAAAAGCACCGGCUAACUACGUGCCAGCAGCCGCGGUAAUACGUAGGGUGCAAGCGUUGUCCGGAAUUAUUGGGCGUAAAGAGCUCGUAGGCGGUUUGUCGCGUCUGCUGUGAAAAUCCAAUGCUCAACAUUGGACCUGCAGUGGGUACGGGCAGACUAGAGUGCGGUAGGGGAGAAGGGAAUUCCUGGUGUAGCGGUGGAAUGCGCAGAUAUCACGGAGGAACACCGAUGGCGAAGGCACUUCUCUGGGCCGUAACUGACGGCUGA
rnacentral:rRNA from 1 species